AAACUACUGAAAAUCAAAGAU
rnacentral:miRNA from 1 species